UGGGCGGAUUAGUGGCGAACGGGUGAGUAACACGUGAGUAACCUGCCCUUGACUUCGGGAUAACUCCGGGAAACCGGGGCUAAUACCGGAUAUGAGCCGUCCUCGCAUGGGGGUGGUUGGAAAGUUUUUCGGUCAGGGAUGGGCUCGCGGCCUAUCAGCUUGUUGGUGGGGUGAUGGCCUACCAAGGCGACGACGGGUAGCCGGCCUGAGAGGGCGACCGGCCACACUGGGACUGAGACACGGCCCAGACUCCUACGGGAGGCAGCAGUGGGGAAUAUUGCACAAUGGGCGAAAGCCUGAUGCAGCGACGCCGCGUGAGGGAUGAAGGCCUUCGGGUUGUAAACCUCUUUCAGCAGGGAAGAAGCGCAAGUGACGGUACCUGCAGAAGAAGCGCCGGCUAACUACGUGCCAGCAGCCGCGGUAAUACGUAGGGCGCAAGCGUUGUCCGGAAUUAUUGGGCGUAAAGAGCUCGUAGGCGGUUUGUCGCGUCUGGUGUGAAAACUCGAGGCUCAACCUCGAGCUUGCAUCGGGUACGGGCAGACUAGAGUGCGGUAGGGGAGACUGGAAUUCCUGGUGUAGCGGUGGAAUGCGCAGAUAUCAGGAGGAACACCGAUGGCGAAGGCAGGUCUCUGGGCCGCAACUGACGCUGAGGAGCGAAAGCAUGGGGAGCGAACAGGAUUAGAUACCCUGGUAGUCCAUGCCGUAAACGUUGGGCACUAGGUGUGGGGCUCAUUCCACGAGUUCCGUGCCGCAGC
rnacentral:rRNA from 1 species